rnacentral:lncRNA from 1 species
UGUACCUCAAUACUCCGUCCGGUAUGAGGGUGAAACGGGCCGUCCCCAUACCCCGUUCGGUAUGGGUGCAAAAACACAUAAAGUCUCCAUACCCCGUCCAGUAUGAGAGACCAUGUUCCCAGUAGGGUUCCCUACGGACCCGGUCCGUCCACCAUCUCCCAGGAUAUCUAGUCAGGCUGUCCACAUUAUCCACUCAUCAAUUCACAUAACCUUUUUGCCUUUUUUCUUGAUCUCAAUCAUCUAAUCAUACACAACAUGUAAACCAGUAAUUGACACCAAACAAGACAACACAGUAUCGGGUUCACCAUA